CUUAAGAGUUACCCUUUCAUGCAGACAUCAAAGUAAAAAUGAUGUUUUUGCUAUGGCUUUACUAAUGAAAACCGAAGUUUAUAGUAUCUAAUAUUAAUAAUAUUUUUUCUUUAUGUUUAAACUACUUAGUAUGGUAAAAACAUGGCCUUUAUAUAGACCAUUUACUGAUUUUAUUACAUAGAUCCCAUUAAAGUCGCUUACAAUUGUACAAUAAUUUUACAUUUAACGUGAAUAAAGAUCUGGCACCAUGUCUUUUUUAGUAAAUGAUUUUCCAUACUAUUCCUAAGACAUAACUAUCGUCAAUAAAUCGAAAUCACAAUGCACAUAUUCAUGUAAUAGUUAAAGAAUCCACCAUUGUGAAGUUACAUAUCACCCGAUUAAAUAUAAAUGAAGUGCAAGUACUUGUUUAUUUUGAUUAAUAUGAUACGGUGUUGUGUGGUUCUUCAAGCGUUGUCUUUCUCAUAUAUGAAGCACUGCAUGAUAAAUAAUUGUCACACAGCAAAAAUCUAUACAAAUACAUUAGGCUAUAUAGGAAAAACAAACUUGAAUCUACAACUACAGCUCACAUGUAAAACUUUUAUUAUUGCAAAGGAUUCAAAUGCAAGCAAAGCAAUGCAAACAGAAAUGACAGUCACUCAAUCUGUUGCAAGGAAUGACUUUCAAACAGCAAGUGCUAAAGAGGCCAAACACGCGGAACACAAGUCCAACGCUGAAACUGCUGGAAAAGAACAAUAAAAAAGAUACAGCCUUUAAACAUCUAAACAUGUCCUCCAAAAAGGAAAAAGGGAAAAACAUUGGAAAACAAUUUCAGCCUAAGGUUUGAGAUGGCUAACUGUGUACAUUGCCUUUGUGUACUGAAAGCUGAACUUACAGAUUUAUAUGGACUUUACUUACAGGUUUCCUGUGCUGUUUUGCUCCAUUUUACAGAACAAAAUAAGUGCUGAGGUAGCACCAUCCUUGUGGUUAUAGUGAAAGAAUGUGGGUAUUGAGACCAAAAUAAAUAAUGUGCCAUUCUGGACAAACAGCUGUGGACAAUAUGCAGUCAGAGUAGCCUAUUUUCUCACACAGAUGAGGAGCAACCAGUAAGAAAAAGCAAAAAGAUGUUUUGAUGUUGCCUGAGGCACCUUAUUCACAUCAGUCAAUUUCUUCCAAUAAUGAAUCAAGAAAUCCUGGAGUGGAGAAUCAUUCUGAAAGUAGACCAAAUCCAGGACAACACCACAGCAGUGGUUGGAAAAAUGCAGCAGACAAUGAGCAAGCCAAGCUGACUUUCAAAAGAUGAUUCGUUAUCUGUUUCUUCAAAGGGGAGGCAGUUUGGGAGAUGGGAAAUAGGAGGAUGCUACAGUUACACAGGGCGAAUUUCAGCAGCUCAGUUUCACACUUGCAACUAACAAUGAAUUAUAGUUAGAAGACAACGGAAAUAUUUGACAUCGGAGUCCAGCAGACAGCCAGAGACACGCACACACACGGAGCUGAAGCGCGUUUGACUGACGUGUACGGGAGAUCAGGCACGCGCACGGGAGCUCGCGCACGCACACACAAACACGGAGCACAGGAAAAUUACAACUGUUAAUUACAAAAAUAAAAGAACUU